rnacentral:lncRNA from 1 species
AUCUGCCCCCCUUGGCAUCCUAAAGUUCUGAGAUUACAGGUGCUCGAAAUGUGAGUAAAAGCGACUACGACUUCUGUUCAGACUGAACUUCCAAAUGCUGGAAGCACGGUAAACUCGGCACAAGAAGUACUUGUGAAGGAAUGGGCUUCUAAAGAGCCUGCCAUGGACCCUUUCCACAUCUACUAAGAAGUUUUGGCAUUAUACCAUAGGCCCUCUGAAUGUAGCCAGAAACAAACAAACAAACAAAAAGCCAGCAUCAUCGGCACCUGGGGGAUUGUCAGAAAAGCACCCUCAGACCCAACUCCAUCCUAUGAAUCAGAGUCUACAGUUCAGCAGGGUCCCAAGGGGAUGCUCAAAAACAAUAACAUCUGAAAUGCACCGCUAUGCAUUCCUUUUCCUUAAGAAUAAAUUAAAAUCAAAUUGAGUGUUUUGA